rnacentral:lncRNA from 1 species
GCAAUCCUGGAUAACCUCUAAGAUGGACAGCUGAGUAUAUGCUCAAGCAGCCGUGAAACCAGGCAGAAUGGUUGGGAGACUCGGUCACCUGCACCUUCUCCUUCAAACACUUUGAAAAAUAGACAAGGCCCAACUACCACCAGAGGAUUUUUUCCCACUUACUCCCUUUUGGACAAGCAGUGAACAUAUCCUCCAACUGUAUAGGCAGAAAGGCAUCUCUUUAAAAGGGCAGAGACCCAAAAGUUGGAAAGAGAAAAAGGGAGACAACUUAUAUUGUGGUUUAUUCCUCACUAAUAGUUUUCUGGGCAACAGGAAGCCAAUGGUCAAAUAUUAACUGGAAUUGUACCACAGCCCAACAGGUCUAGUGGACGUAAUUUUCCCCAAACAACUGUGAUCAGACAUACACAUGGAAGGAAGGCAGGAAAGAAACUUCUCAAUCACUCCUACUUCUUUUUAAUGCAAAUAACAUGUUCCUACUUAGGUGCCUUGGGACUCAGUCAUUUUCAUUGUUCAAAUUCUAGGUACCUGCCAUGAGUCUUAUAACAAGCCACUCUCCACAAUCACCCCACAAAAGCUACAGGACCGCCUGUCACUCUAAGCUUUCAGAUCAGAAGAAGCCCCAGAGCUUGAGCAUUGAAGAUCCCUGUCCCUCUGUCUCCUGUCGCUUCUGCCAGGCCGAAAAAAAUGUUUACCCG